rnacentral:rRNA from 1 species
GGUUAAGCGAAUAAGCGUACACGGUGGAUGCCUAGGCAAUCAGAGGCGAUGAAGGACGUGCUAAUCUGCGAUAAGCGUCGGUAAGGUGAUAUGAACCGUUAUACCCGACGAUUUCCGAAUGGGGAAACCCAAUAUCCAAUGGAUAUUAUCAUUAACUGAAUACAUAGGUUAAUGAAGCGAACCGGGAGAACUGAAACAUCUCAGUACCCCGAGGAAAAGAAAUCAACCGAGAUUCCCCUAGUAGCGGCGAGCGAACGGGGAACAGCCCAGAGUCUUAAUCAAUAGCAGCAUCAGGAGAACGGUCUGGAAAGUCCGGCAGUAAAGGGUGAUAGCCCCGUAUCCGAAGAUGCUGUUAUUGUGAACUCGACGAGUAGGGCGGGACACGUGUUAUCCUGUCUGAAUAUGGGGGGACCAUCCUCCAAGGCUAAAUACUCCUGAUUGACCGAUAGUGAACCAGUACCGUGAGGGAAAGGCGAAAAGAACCCCGGCGAGGGGAGUGAAAAAGAACCUGAAACCGUGUACGUACAAGCAGUAGGAGCC